GUUGCGGUGGUUGAGUGGAAAGUAGCUUACAGCGAACAAGAAGCUCGUCGCAACAACGUAAGCCGUAGCUUACCAGGCAUGUACCAGCGACUGUAUAUUUCUAGUUUUGGAUCGUAAAUAAUAUUAUAAUCAAAUAUUUUUAUAAUAUAUAUAUUUCAUUCUCUUACGUUCAUAUUCAUGCAAAAGAAAAUAAUGAGACAGCUUUUAAGCAUUGCUAUAUAAAACACUAUUCUAUUACUCUCAAAUAUAAAAUAUCAAAAAAUUAAAAGAUUUCCUAUAUCUAUUCAAGUCUCUAUGAAGUUAAUACCGACUACUGAGCAUGUUCAACAAACUAGAUGAUGGUUGGCUUAAUCGAGUGUUUUAUUAUUGCUCAAAAUGAAAUAUGAAGCGUCGAUUAAAGAUUUCAACUGAUUUUUUAUUUUCGAUUCCCUGUAUGACUUGUGUUUUCUUACAAGUACUAGACUAAUGUUUUUGUUUUGGAGCAAUAUAGAUAUUGAAAGAACCAAUGCGCAAAUCUCAAUUCUAUUCAAUAUUAGAUGGAACCAUCUCGAAAAGUUAGCCAACAAGUUUCUAGAUCUUUAAAUGUGAAUACCAUCCUUAGACCUUGAGAAGUCAAGGAUAAGCAGCAUUUUAGUUGAAACGAUAGAUCAGUGAUCACUCCUAAAUAACUCAAUAUAAACAGUUUGUAGUAAUACAUCUAGCGCUAUAUUCUAAGCGCUUUUUA